rnacentral:rRNA from 1 species
UGGGGAAUUUUGGACAAUGGGCGCAAGCCUGAUCCAGCCAUGCCGCGUGCAGGAUGAAGGCCUUCGGGUUGUAAACUGCUUUUGUACGGAACGAAAAGGUGCCUUCUAAUAAAGGGCGCUCAUGACGGUACCGUAAGAAUAAGCACCGGCUAACUACGUGCCAGCAGCCGCGGUAAUACGUAGGGUGCGAGCGUUAAUCGGAAUUACUGGGCGUAAAGCGUGCGCAGGCGGUUUUGUAAGACAGAGGUGAAAUCCCCGGGCUCAACCUGGGAACUGCCGUUGUGACUGCAAGGCUGGAGUGCGGCAGAGGGGGAUGGAAUUCCGCGUGUAGCAGUGAAAUGCGUAGAUAUGCGGAGGAACACCGAUGGCGAAGGCAAUCCCCUGGGCCUGCACUGACGCUCAUGCACGAAAGCGUGGGGAGCAAAC